AAUGGUUUCACCAUCAACUCUUGCCGUCCCAAAAACCUUUAAUGACCUUGAAUGAGAUUUUUUUAUAACAACAAACUUUUUGUUAGGUGGAUUCAUUGUUGGGAAAUCCGCAACUUCCAAAAGCCAAACUUAUUCAUGGGAAUUGAAUUGCUUUUCAUAGACUCAAAGGUAUUCUUACAAAUUUAAAUUAAUCUAAUCCAUAAUUUUAUUGUUAAUAUUCAUACUAACUCUUUCAUGAUAAAACCAUUUCAGUUAAUAAACAUUCAAG
rnacentral:lncRNA from 1 species